rnacentral:tRNA from 1 species
CUCCUCGUAGUUCAAUGGAUAGAACAACUCCGUCCUAAGGGGUUGAUGGGGGUUCGAUUCCCUCCGAGGAGACAA